AAAAACCACCACAAAUGCAGGAGCCAGAAGGGCUUGGUGUUCGUGCUGUGACCCCGUGAGAGGCAUCAUCUUUAAGGCACUCUUUACAAGGCAAUUUGCAAGACAGCCAGCUACAGUGUUGGGGCAGAGAUGUUCUUGCUGGGGAACAGAGCAAACCAUGGCAACCAUGGGAAUGAGGAGCCAAUCUUCUGAUUCAGACAUCCAUUGUUUUCUUAGACGAGAUGCAAAGAUGUUGGAGGCAAGAGACCGAUUAUAUUGCAACCUUCCCUUGACUCCUCAGCUGAUUCUCAUAGAGGUUCAUUUGAAUUAAGGAACUUAAAUACAGGCAUGCCAUGCCAACUUGGUCGCA